rnacentral:rRNA from 1 species
UACAGAGGGUGCGAGCGUUAAUCGGAAUUACUGGGCGUAAAGCGCGCGUAGACGGUUUUGUAAGUCAGAUGUAAAAUCCCUGGGCUCAACCUGGGAACUGCAUUUUGAGACUGCAUGGCUAGAGUAUCGAAGAGGGAAGUGGAAUUUCCGGUGUAGCGGUGAAAUGCGUAGAUAUCGGAAGGAACACCAGUGGCGAAAGCGACUUCCUGGUCG